UAGAGCAAAAUAUCAUGGGAUGGGAGGGCC
rnacentral:piRNA from 1 species